GUUCUCCUUCUGCAGCUUCGGCUGCACUAUUGCGGCCUUGGCUUUCACUGCUCUCCAUUGAGAUAAAUUCUCAACCGGACAAAGCACAGAAGAAACAUAUCGUCCAGCAUCCGAUCUUGAUUCAGUCGCCUGCUGCAUCGUCAUCAUCAUCAUCAUCAUCCUCAUCUUCAUCAAGAUCUAUGUCCCCGUCUUCUUCACUGUCGCUGUACCUGCAGUUGUGAUAUCUGUAGCUUGCAGGGUAGGACGACGCGAUCACAUCCUCUUCGUAGCGCAAGCCCGUUUCUUCUCCCCCCUCGACUUCAUCGUCAUCAGGGAUCGGUUCGUAAGCCUUGACAUUCAGAUUGAACCUCACUUUCUUUUUAAGCUUGAGUACUAAUGGCUUCUCCUCCCUACAGAAAUGUGAACCAUAAAUUGACAGCUUGUAAAUUUUUAAUUUAGAUUUGGGACUUACUUGAGCUGAGAUGUAUCAGAAUGGAGGUUUUGUUUGAGAUCAGAGUCAAGAGGCACAUAGCUUCUGCUGUCCUAACAGAUUUUGAAUAAAUUCAAAGCCAUAAAUUUCACAUUGAAAAAUGGUGUUUGAUGUU